CCUACGGGUGGCAGCAGUCGAGAAUCAUUCACAAUGGGGGAAACUCUGAUGGUGCGAAGCCGCGUGGGGGAAUGAAGGUCUUCGGAUUGUAAACCCCUGUCAUGUGGGAGAAAAUCAAAAAGAGAGUACCACAAGAGAAAGAGACGGCUAACUCUGUGCGAGCAGCCGCGGUAAUACAGAGGUCUCAAGCGUUGUUCGGAAUCACUGGGCGUAACGCGUGCGUAGGCUGUUUCGUAAGUAGGGUGUGAAAGGUGCGGGCUCAACCCGCGGAUUGCACAUGAUACUGCGAGACUAGAGUAGUGGUGGGGUAGCCGGAAUUCGCGGUGUAGCAGUGAAAUGCUUAGAUAUCGAGAGGAACCCUCGUGGCGAAGGCGGGUUCCUGGACAUUAACUGACGCUGAUGCACGAAGGUCAGGGGAGCGAAAGGGAUUAGAUACCCCUGUAGUC
rnacentral:rRNA from 1 species